UAAAGGAGACAACGCGGGAGCAAAACCAGAGUUUAUCUGGUGUGAGUUAUACCUACCUCUUGCCCAAGGGACAUUAGCAAAACGUAUGCAAGGAAAAAGAAUCAGCACCCUCUUCCAGUUCAUUGAGAGAUGUGGGAAGUGUGUGCCAUAUUUAUCAAAGGUUGCAGGUGGCAUUGGAAGUAGGAG